rnacentral:lncRNA from 10 species
CUCGUCUUAAUCAAGGAAUCCUGACUUAACCUUAUUCUUUCUCACAGACACAGUUCAAUGCUGCAAUGGAGCCUGUGGUGAGCACUGAUUCAAUAGGUGGUUUGCCUCCUUAGACGCAGAAUCACAGGACUAGAAGGAGUGAAAACAACACUUUAUCUCUACAUUGGCUUCAGGGAGGACAGUGCCCAAACCACCUCAAGUACAGAAUAAUUUACUCUCAUUUAGAAGAUCUCCAGACAGAGCUCGAAUGGCUCCCUUGGCAACAAAUUUUAGUUUUAACAAUCUUUGUAGCUUUAUCCUUCCCUCCAGAUAAUGCCAUAACUGUGUACUCUAGAUUAAACGUUUUCUCCUUUUCUGCCCACAGUGCUUUUGAAGCCAAACAUGAUUUCACAUAUAGUGUUGGGUCAUCAUUAAGUCACCUUUCAGAAGUCCCUCUAAAUUAAGGAGUCCUCAUCCUUUCCUUAAAUUUUUCAUGUGUCCUGACCUAUGAGAAUCUGUUAUACGCAUGUUUAAUUUCUAUGGAAUACCUCAUCAUACAACUUGAAAUUCUGAUUGACUAGUGGUUUUUUUCCUGCAUAAGUGCUACUUCAUCUAUGCCUCAGUAACAAACAACAACAAUCACUUAAUGGAAAUGGUGGCAGGCAGAAUUCUAAGAUAGCUGCCAGAUUCCUGCCGCCCCUGGUGUGCAUUCCUUGAUAAUCACUCUCCUUUGAGUGCAGGCAGACCUGUGUGUAUGAUACCACUGCUAUGAUUACAUUGCUCAUCAGGCGACUGUGAGCUAGCCAAAAUGGAGAAUAUUCUGGUGGGUCUGACCUAGCCAGGUGAGCCCGUUUCUGAGUCAUAGAGAUUGAAAGUGUGAGAGGGAUUUGAUGUGAGGGGGAAUUCUCUGUUGCUGGUUUUGAGUAUAAAAGGGGCCAUAUAAUAAAGACUUGAGAGUGGUCACUAGUUGCUGAGAUCCAUCCCUAAUUGAAGCUAGCAAGAAACACUUCUACCAACAACUUGAAGGAAUUUGGAAAAGAAUCCUUCCCUAGUCAAGUCUCUAGAGGGGAAUGCAGCUAACUGACACCUUGAUUUCAGCCUCGUGAGACCCUGAACAGAGAUAUCAACCACUCAGUUGCCUGGACCUCUGACAGAAAUGAAAGAUAAUAAAUGUCUGUUGUUUUAAGCCACUAAGUUUAUGGAAAUUUGUUACACAGCAAUGGAAAACCAAUAUAGGCCCCUAUCCAUGAGUUACAUUGUAGUAAACACCUUUCCUACAUUAUAGAUAUCUCAUCUAACUCCUACAGCAACCCUUGAGGUAAUCACUGUGUCCAUUGUCAGAGCAAGAAAACUGAAGCUCGGCUUCAUAAACAGAAGCAGCAAGGAUUGAUUCCUUAAAUACUGUGAAUUCCACUCUCACUUUAUUUGAAUUUGUGACAGUGAAAUUCACAGUAUUCUUUAAACAUUUUACCCCCAAGCGAUGCUCUUUCCUCUGAAUUGCUUUGCCUGUCCUAAUAAUUUUAUUUAUACAGGCUGAUGCUGGUGACUUGGGAAUAGUAUUUUUAUCCAAACCAUUUGGCUUCUUAUAGGUAUGAGCCACUGAGGGAGCUAUUUUUUAUUUAAUUGUGCUUUGGAAAAAUCAAACGUAGCCUUGAGUUUUAAAAUUAUUAAGCUUACACUUUUUCACAAAAUAGAAAUGGAGUAAUAUAGCUCUGUCCUUCCGUUUUUUAAAGCCAAAAAAUGUAAGAAUGGAAUGUACUGGCUCACUGCUCCCACGGUGUCCUUACCAGCACAACUUACCCCAUCCCUCCCUAGCCCACUCUUGAGGAUACUUUCUUGCCACUGUCAGGCUUACUCCUGCCUCCUAGACUGAGGAAAGAAAAGCCUCCUGGUUUGGAGCUCAUAAUCAAGUCAGCCUUGCUGCAGGGCUCAUUUUAAGCCAGUAUCCUGGACCAGAUAAGGAAGCUGAAGCUUUGAGAAUUUAAUUUGCUCAAGGGGAGGCCAGGACAAGAAAUAAUGAAGAGUCCGAUGUGGCAGGAAUGUAGGAAACAAGUCAAUGAUGGAAGAUAAAUAUGGAGACGUGAUGAAGGCAAAAUUCUGAAGGGUCUUAGAGCCCAUUAUAAGACGUUUGGUUUUUAUGACUAUGCCGUGCAAGACUUGGUAAACUGGUCCCUACCGCAGAGGAUUUUAUACAGAGCACGCUAGUGGCUCACAGAAUAUUUCACUGAUUGCCUUGCCCGCUUCUCAAAGGCCCACUUCUCUGUGGAAUGAUGCAGUUGCUAAGAAGAGCUGUUAAUGUCAUGACCUCAAUGAAUAAAAAAGACUUCCUUUUCUCCAUGCCCACUCAAGUAAAAGGCUUCUCUCUGAACUCCUGCUAAUUUUUCAUCAGCAAAGGUGCACAGCCUUUUGGAAGUGAAAUGAUUACUAGUGAAGAAAAAGAAAGAACCUAACACUUAUUUUACAAGCCUCCCAGUGACCACUCUUCAGACAAAACUUCUUAUAAUAGCUUCCUUCCCUGAAUCUUUUGCGAAACAUCAAAUCACAAAGAGAUCUUAUUAUCAGAUCAAGUGCUCAGUUGGUUCUUCCUCCCUGUGUCCCCCAAACCAUCCAGGAGCAGGGGCUUGAAAGAUUUACAACACUUUACACUACUUCAACAGCUAUUUUAGUCCUUAGAUUUUAUUGCCCCAACCAUGGUCUCCUUGGGAACAGACUGAAUCUGGAUCCAGAAGUGGCUGCUGAGGGAGAAGGUAGACAAGGUAGACCAAGAGCAACUAAGUUACGAAAGCAUUUCAAGGAUGGAGUGAUCAACUGGACCAAAUGACACUGAGAGAUUAAGAAAAGAUGUAAUUCACAUUGGAUUGGUGGUAUGAUGGUUAUUCAGGGAAAGGUCAAGAUGAUUAUUGUGAAAAGUUUGGGAAUUUUUUUUUACUUUAAGUUCUGGGAUACAUAUGCAGAAUGUGCAGGUUUGUUACAUAGGUAUACAGGUGCCAUGAUGGUUUCUGCACCUAUCAACCCGUCAUCUAGGUUUUAAGCCCCACAUUAUUAGCUAUUUAUCCUGAUGCUAUCCCUCCCCUUGUCCCUCACCCUGCAACAGGCCCCGGUGUGUGAUAUUCCCCUCCCUGUGUCCAUGUGUUCUCACUGUUCAACUCCCACUUAUGAGUGAGAACAUGCAGUGUUUGGUUUUCUGUUCCUGUGUUAGUUUGCUGAGAAUGAUGGUUUCCAGCUUCAUCCAUGUCCCUGCAAAGGACAUGAACUCAUUCCUAUUUACGGCUGCAUAGUAUUCCAUGGUGUAUCUGUGCCACAUUUUCUUUAUCCGGUCUAUCAUUGAUGGGCAUUUGGGUUGGUUCCAUAACUAAAGGAAAAAGUGGACUCAUAAGAGAAGUUAAUUUUAAAAUAGAAAACUGGAAUGUUUGCCUGCUGAUGGGAGUGAUCCAAUAGAGAAAAUUAGUGCAAAAAAUGUGGAUAAACAAAAGCACUUAUACAUCAGGUAUAUAAGAUUGUUCUGUUCAAUGAUGUUUUGCUAUAACCUCGAUGAGAAAAAAAAAUCAAUUCCCCAGCCAUGGCCAUUUUCUGUGUGAAGUUUGCGUGUUCUCUUCAUGUCUGCAUUGGUUUCCUCCCACAUCCCAAAGCCGUGCCACUGGCAUCCCAUUGGCAUGUCUGAAUUGUCCCAGUAUGAGUGGUGUGGGUGUGUGUGAGGGUUCUCUGCGAUGAGAUGGCAUCCUGUUCGGGACUGGUUCUUACCUGAACCUCCAGGACAGGCUCCACAGUAGGUCACCACCUACAAUCUUGAACUGGAACAGUUGGGCAAGUAAUUAUCUGACUUGUUUGUAUUAAUCUUUCUUAAAAGUGUAGCUCACAUUUAUUUCAUUGUUUAAUAUUGGAAGUGUUUUGGUCUUUAUUUUGAAGGUUGGGUGAUGAUUUUGUGACCAGAAAUAUGCUGUAGGAAAUUAACUCUAGUUUAUUUCAAUUAGCCUAUGUUAAGUUGAUUUCCUUUUACAUCGUUUCACUUACAAUCGUAGCUUCCAAGAACCUAUCAAUGACAUUAAGUGAAGACUAUUUGUAUAUGCCGAGUUGUCAGUCUCUGCCGAUAGAAUAGGGGAAGGAAGUUAAGGAAUGAAGCCCACAAAUUCCUUCUUCAUCUCUCAAACUUGAGAAAGGGCUGCCCAUUAGUCCUCCUUGAUCAACUAAGUUUGAACUGUCUGCAAUAUCCUUGCCCUAUUCGACCCCCAGUAUGAACUAAGUGGAUAUGUAAGAUCUUACCUAUUUUUUCUGUGCCUGUUCAUUUUGUCUCAAAACAAAAACAAAGUGAAGGCUCAUUAAUGAGAAAUCAAUGAAACAAUAAUUGAUCACACACCUUUAACAGCUGCCUCCUCUUAACAAAUCAUCAUAUAUCUAACCCCAAGCCCAAACCACCACCACCGCAUAUGGCUCUGUUAUCCCUGUGUAGGUUCCUAGGCUAUAGGUCUCGGGUCUCCUAAGUCCAGCCCAUUCUAUGACCUUUUCAUUUCCACCUAUGUGACAAUAUAGAGUAGAUGCCUCUAUUCCCAACUUGGAAGUAAAGAAAAUCCUGAAAUGCCAGAAUUGAUAAGAGAGAUAUGAUAAAAGCAAUUUAAAGCAAAAUUUCAGAAGAAGAGAAAAGAACUUGGCUAAAACCUAAUUAGUAAUUUCAACAUUAUUUCAAAAAAAGAAUGUGAUACAAUUCCCAGACAGUGUGUGCCAUGGAACCCUGGGAAGGCACAGCAAACUCAUAUGGGUGCAGAGGGGUAUUUUAAAUUUUAGAGGAAACCAGCAAUUUGUCAGAAACAAUGUCAACUGCUAGUUCCUGGAGAUCCACACUUUCAACAAUAAACAUUGCUACAUUCUUUUUGAUGAUGUCAUAUCUUUGCAAACUUGGUUUUUAUGCAGUAGCUCUGAUAAAAAACAAUUGCUUUGUGAAAAUCACUGUGGGACAGAAAAUGAGAGUGGCAGUGUCCAAUCUGAUUCUGAGGUUUGAGAAAGUGCACGGUAUCCAACAGAUACACACAUUCUAUUAGCGUGUAAUUGAGGUCAUUUAAAAAUGAAAUACAUUUUUUUUUUCAAAAAAAAAAAGAAAAGUAUGUGAUCAUCAAAAAGAGGGUUACUGUCUCUGGGGCAUGGAACCAUGGAAGUCAAUGGGUAAAUGUUAGUGUUUGUUCCAUAAUGGGACCAAGGAAUCCAGCCAUUCAGUCCUGACAGCUGGUAUAUCCCUAAGGUAGAGCUGAGCAUUUAGCCAUCUUAGCCUGACAUCAUUAAAGACUUGAGCCACACUCUGUACCCAAUAAAUACAUCAUAAAUCCCGUCAUAAAUCAACUUCUCAUGUUAAUUUAUCUGCAGAAGACAAUACUGUUCUCAGAGUAAGAUAGGAUUUUCUACCACUGGCAUUAUGAAUUAACUAAUUGUCGUUCUUAUUUAUAUGUCCAUGCCCUAUGAGCUGGAUUAGAGUGAGAUUUGCCCUGUGGGAUGGUACACUGCACCCCAGAGCAUUGACAUAAUCAGUUGGCUACAUUUACGGAGUUCAGGGUCAAGGAACAGAACUUCUGGGCUUGGGAAAGUAAUAUACUGCAUGUAUAUGUGUGUGUAUAUAUAUAUGUGUGUAUGCAUGUAUAUAUUUAUGUUGUUACGUGUGUGUAUAUAUAUAUAUGUUGUUACGCAUAUAUAUGUAUGUAUGUGUGUGUGUAUAUAUAUAUAUGUUGUUACGUAUAAGAGACCACCUGAGAAGGCUUAGUGUGAGCAACAAGGCUGUUUAUUCACUUGGGUGCAAGUGGGCUGAGUCCGAGAAAGGAGUCAUCGAAGGGUCGUGGGAUUAUCAUUGGUUCUUACAGGUUUGGGAUAGGCGGUGGAGUUAGAAGCAAUUUUUUUUGUGGGCAGGGGAUGGAUGUUACAAAGUACAUUCUCAAGGGCACGGAGGAUGUUACAAACUACAUUCACAAGGGCAGGGAGGGUGUAUUGUCACAAGGGUGGGGAGGAAUGUUACACAGUACAUUCACAAGGGCGCAGGAACGUCACGAUGGCUUGAUUGUGGUGCGGCCAGCUCAGAGGACCUUACAUAUAUGUGUGAGUGUAUGUAUAUAUAUGUGUGUGUGUAUGUGUGUUUUGUGUGUGUUUAUAUAUGUGUGUGUGUAUAUACACACAUAAAACACACACACUAAACACACACAUACCUGUAACACAUACAAAAAUACAUAUAUACACAUACAUACAUAUAAAUAUAUACACACAUAUUAAAGUGCCUAAUACUUCUGCACAGUCUGAGAGAGAGUUUUUUCCCAAGUAUACCAGUGUCGGACUAUUUUGAUAAUCUGUACUUUGCAGAGUGGUCCAUUUAAUCCUCAUGUAAUUCUGUAAAGUAGGCACCAGACACAUUUUACAGAUGUGAUGAGAAGUAAUGCAAUUUGCACA